AUUUUUUUGAGCAUUGUAUAAUAUAAAUAUGAAAAAGAAAGAGAAACAAAACCUAUGUGCUGGUAUGCACUAAAUAAGGCAAAAUUACUGAUACAAAAUUUUGCUACACCAAAUAUAUUUGGCCGAACAGCUCACAGACACGUAUGCUCUCUCAUAGCCUGCCAAGCAUUAAAAACUCUCUCUCUCAUUCAGGCCUUAGAAAUAGGCCUCCGGCUAUUCCAUCAACAGCUUCAAUCAAUUAAGCUUUACAAAACUCCAACAAUAUAAAUAUAUGCAUUACAUUAAAACAUUCACAUACAAAUACACAUUACCACCACCCUUGGCAUCAAAAGACACACAGAAUUUACACAAAUAACAUUUCCACAGUCCAUUAUUUCCCCCCUGUGGUCAAAUUAUGCAAUGGUAGCUAACCAGAGCAAACCAUGUGAAAUAGGGGUGCAACUCCACCUCUUCCGGUUUGCCAGUGAAACAGCUCAAACUCCCUCACCAGACCUGUUUCCUCUCUGGAAUUUGAAUUUCAAAUUGCUGUAUGAAAAUGUCUCUUGGAAUGGACUCCAUCCAAUCCCAACUCUUGGAAUCGACUACAGGAUUUUAAGAAUCGAAGCGCCUUAGGUUAGGGGCCUGGCUUCAGGGCGAGCAGACGAUGUUCCACGGCAGACAUCAGGGAAUGACUGUGGAGUUUUUAAUGCUUAUGGUAAGUUACAAAUCAUUUGGUCAAGUUCUGUAAGUCAUUUCCAGUGGUAACACUGUAUGUUUUUUUUUUCUCUAGUAUGCACUGCAUUCUUAUAGACGGCCCAUUCAAUUUCAUAUUGGUUAGUAUUUUCGUUUUUUAAUAAAGUUGCUACCACAUUAUUGUGAAAGCACUCAUUUAAUAACACGUUUAAUUGUAAAAGCAGUAUUAGUCUGUUAUAAUAUAUAUUGUAUGUAUUUCUGUUUUUAAGCUAGAUAUGCCAUCAAUCAGGGAACGGUGGUGUAUAAAUUUAAUGGAAUGGUUUCAAACUGAAGGGUAUGCUUUGGGAAGCUUUCAUAUUUGGGUAUUGGUCAAAUUAAUAGUAAAAACUUAUUUGCCCUUUGGACUGUUGAGGCAACUGACCUUCUUCAGGGCAAAUUGCAGCCUGUAUACAGGGUAUCCAGUCCGUCUAAAAUAAGUCACGGCACCCCAAAACAUGAGGUGGUGCUCAGUGAGCGCACUUCAAACAACGAAAAACUUGUGGACCUUAUAAUCAAGGAACAAGAGGCAAAAGAACAACUGAAUGUAAGAUAUUAUUCCUUUAGUGUUUUCAUUGAUUAUAAGAAGAACUAACACAGGUAAAUUAUGCAUUUAGUAGCCAUGAUACACAUUAAAGUAACAUAAAUGUGUUUUGGUUGUACCAAGAAAUCCUACUGUUUGCAAUUCUCAGCAGCUAUUAUUUGUUAUACAAAAUGAAAGAAUGUGUUUUUCAUAUAGGUACUGAAUGGUUAGUUAAGGAAAGGAGAGAGUAGAUUACAGUCUGUAAUUUGAAAAUUAUAAAGU